rnacentral:rRNA from 1 species
UACGUAGGGGCCGAGCGUUGUCCGGAGUUACUGGGCGUAAAGCGCGCGCAGGCGGCUCGUCAAGCCUGACGUGAAAGCCCCCGGCUCAACCGGGGAGGGUCGUCGGGGACUGGCGGGCUUGAGGUCGGAAGGGGUUGGUGGAAUUCCCGGUGUAGUGGUGAAAUGCGUAGAGAUCGGGAGGAACACCCGUGGCGAAGGCGGCCUACUGGGCCGGACCUGACGCUGAGGCGCGAAGGCGUGGGGAGCGAACGGG